GUGCGGUCCCCUGCCCCGCACGGCGGCAGGACGCGUCUUUGGGGGUGGCUCUGAGAGCCGGCGUGUCCUCUGGGCUAAGAGAGGUGCGGAGGCCAGAGGGGGGUUGUGUGAAUGUAGAGGGGCACGGGGGUGUCUGGAAGUGUUUCCGCGCUUGUCCUUCCUGGCCUGAGUGUUGAAGGGCAGCGGUAGCAAACGCACCUACCCGGGGCAGUGCCGAGUGAGUGCGGGUGUGUGUGUGCGCCGCGGGGUGCCCGAGCACCGGCAGUGCCAGGAUCCCCGGCGCGUUUCUGCUUGUGAAAUCGAUACGACUUUUGCUCGUCCGCACCGCCGUCGUUGUGACCCGAAAAGCGAAGAGCGAACUGAACGCACAUAGCGGUGCGGGAGCUGUUACGUGAUCUGAGGGACUGCAUGCCCGCCUAUGGAGAACGGGUGCCCGAAGCCUGUCAAACCCAGGGAACCGCGAGACGCAGGAAACGCCGCAAGAAAAAGCUGCACCGACGGGUGUGAGCCGCCUGGUCGGCCCUUGUAGCGCAGAGCGUCGCCGAGCGAGGGCGGGUAGGAGCCCCGGCAGCGCGACCGCCUGGUCAUCGCCCUGACCGCGGCCGGUGCAUCGCAGGUGAACGUCAACGGGAAACAAACGAAAAGUUUAUUAUAAUGCUUUCUCCCAAGGCUUGAGAAGCAACCUCAAUUAGAAGGUCUACAGUGGAGGAAGACUUUCAUCCCUGCCUUUAAAUAUGGCUUGAAACAGCAGGAAAAGCAGUUUUUGUUAUUGUUUUUUGUUUGUUUGUUUGUUUGUUUUAUCUGUGUGUGUGUAUGGAUUUUCCAGAGUAACCUAAUGCACUGUGCUGCCAUAAGGCUUAAACAGGGCUGACAGAGUGGGAUUAUGGUCAUUUUAUACAGACUAAUGAGUUAUUUUUGCAUGUAUGGAGGUCUCUGCUUUCUAUCAAAGUCCAGACUGGGUAGAGGUCUAAGACUGAGUCCCUUCUUGUUAACUGCAAGCUUAUCCUUCCUCCUUCUAAAAAAUGCAUGGAUUUAGAUCUUAGGUAUUCAUGAAAUUGAUUAGAGUAUUAGGUCACAUAAGUAUCCAGAGAAACAUUUCAAAUGCUGCUGCUCUUGCAUUCUUAAAUCACACUGAUUGUAACACUUGGGUAUCAUCUCAGUUACUGCUUCUGCAAAGAUUACCUCAGAUAUGCUAAACAAAACAAAACAAACAAACGCUUUCUUAAAUUUGAGUAGCAAUGCCUUACAAAACUUGGCAAGAAUGAUUGCUGUGUAAGCUGGUAAAGAACUAUUCUGUAUGAUCCAGUAUUCAGGUAUGAUUAAUGCACUUUAAGUUCAUACUGGACUGCUUGUGAUUUUACAGGGUUCAUUAAGUAACAGGGAGGGACAAAAAUGCUGUACCACUAAUUUUAACUUUGGUACCCAGCACUUACUUUCUUGAUAGUGUUCCUGACGUUGCUAAUGUUAAUUCCAAAACUAUAGCUUAGGAAGCUAUAUCUAUCUACACAGCAAAAUACAGAACAAAAAAAA